rnacentral:rRNA from 1 species
UACGUAGGGGGCUAGCGUUGUCCGGAAUCAUUGGGCGUAAAGAGCGCGUAGGCGGCCAGAUAAGUCCGGUGUGAAAGUCACAGGCUCAACCUGUGAAUGCCGCUGGAAACUGUCUGGCUAGAGUCCGGGAGGGGCGAGUGGAAUUCCUGGUGUAGCGGUGAAAUGCGCAGAUAUCAGGAGGAACACCGGUGGCGAAGGCGGCUUUCUGGACAGAUACCGACGCUGAGGCACGAAAGCUAGGGGAGCAAACAGG